rnacentral:rRNA from 1 species
AGAGUUUGAUCAUGGCUCAGAUUGAACGCUGGCGGCAGGCCUAACACAUGCAAGUCGAGCGGUAACAUUUCUAGCUUGCUAGAAGAUGACGAGCGGCGGACGGGUGAGUAAUGCUUGGGAAUAUGCCUUAGGGUGGGGGACAACAGUUGGAAACGACUGCUAAUACCGCAUAACGUCUACGGACCAAAGGGGGCUUCGGCUCUCGCCCUUAGAUUAGCCCAAGUGGGAUUAGCUAGUUGGUGAGGUAAUGGCUCACCAAGGCGACGAUCCCUAGCUGGUUUGAGAGGAUGAUCAGCCACACUGGAACUGAGACACGGUCCAGACUCCUACGGGAAGCAGCAGUGGGGAAUAUUGCACAAUGGGCGCAAGCCUGAUGCAGCCAUGCCGCGUGUGUGAAGAAGGCCUUAGGGUUGUAAAGCACUUUCAGUAAGGAGGAAAGGUUAGUAGUUAAUACCUGCUAGCUGUGACGUUACUUACAGAAGAAGCACCGGCUAACUCCGUGCCAGCAGCCGCGGUAAUACGGAGGGUGCGAGCGUUAAUCGGAAUUACUGGGCGUAAAGCGUACGCAGGCGGUUUGUUAAGCGAGAUGUGAAAGCCCCGGGCUCAACCUGGGAACUGCAUUUCGAACUGGCAAACUAGAGUAUGAUAGAGGGUGGUAGAAUUUCAGGUGUAGCGGUGAAAUGCGUAGAGAUCUGAAGGAAUACCGAUGGCGAAGGCAGCCACCUGGGUCAAUACUGACGCUCAUGUAC